CGCGGGGGCAACCCUGGCGGCGAGCGGCGAACGGGUGAGUAAUACAUCGGAACGUGUCCCGUAGUGGGGGAUAGCCCGGCGAAAGCCGGAUUAAUACCGCAUAUGCUCUACGGAGGAAAGCGGGGGAUUCGCAAGAACCUCGCGCUAUGGGAGCGGCCGAUGUCCGAUUAGCUUGUUGGUGAGGUAAAGGCUCACCAAGGCGACGAUCGGUAGCUGGUCUGAGAGGAUGAUCAGCCACACUGGGACUGAGACACGGCCCAGACUCCUACGGGAGGCAGCAGUGGGGAAUUUUGGACAAUGGGGGAAACCCUGAUCCAGCCAUGCCGCGUGAGUGAAGAAGGCCUUCGGG
rnacentral:rRNA from 1 species